rnacentral:rRNA from 1 species
UGGGGAAUAUUGCACAAUGGGCGCAAGCCUGAUGCAGCCAUGCCGCGUGUGUGAAGAAGGCCUUCGGGUUGUAAAGCACUUUCAGCGAGGAGGAAGGGUUCAGUGUUAAUAGCACUGUUCAUUGACGUUACUCGCAGAAGAAGCACCGGCUAACUCCGUGCCAGCAGCCGCGGUAAUACGGAGGGUGCAAGCGUUAAUCGGAAUUACUGGGCGUAAAGCGCACGCAGGCGGUUUGUUAAGUCAGAUGUGAAAUCCCCGCGCUUAACGUGGGAACUGCAUUUGAAACUGGCAAGCUAGAGUCUUGUAGAGGGGGGUGAGAAUUCCAGGCGUAGCGGUGAAAUGCGUAGAGAUCUGGAGGAAUACCGGUGGCGAAGGCGGCCCCCCUGGACAAAGACUGACGCUCAGGUGCGAA